rnacentral:rRNA from 1 species
UACGUAGGGUGCGAGCGUUGUCCGGAAUUAUUGGGCGUAAAGAGCUCGUAGGCGGUGUGUCGCGUCGGUCGUGAAACUUCAGCUUAACUGGGAGCUUGCGGUCGAUACGGGCAUCACUGGAGUUCGGCAGGGAGACUGGAAUUCCUGGUGUAGCGGUGAAAUGCGCAGAUAUCAGGAGGAACACCGGUGGCGAAGGCGGGUCUCUGGGCCGGAUACU